rnacentral:lncRNA from 1 species
UUUUUUUUUUUUUUUUGAAAAGAUAAAUAUAAUUGACAAACCUCUAGCCAGGCUCAACAAGAGAAAAGAGACAUAAACAAAAUCAGAAAGAAAGAGGAAAAAUAACAAUCAAUACCUCAGAAACAGAAAAAGUCAUUAAGGGUAUAUAUAUGACUAGUUAUAUGUCAACAAAUUGGACAACCUACAACUAGUGAACAAGUUUCUAGAAACAUACAGCCUGCCACAGUUAGGUCAAGAAAAACCAGAUCAUCUGAAAAGACUGAUCACUAGAAAUGAAAUAGAAUCUGUAGUAAUAAUAAUAAUGAUGGUGAUGAUGAUGAAGAUCCUUGCAAAAAAAAAAAAAUCCAGGAUCCUAUGGCUUCACUGGGGAUUUCUACAAAACAUAUAAAGAACUUAUGACAAUACUUCUCAAAUCCCUCCAAAAGACUGAAGAAGAGCGAACAUUCCAAAAUUCAUUCUGUCUAGCUAUCAUCAGCCUGUUACUCAAAGCAGACAAAGAUAAGACCAAUAAAGAAAAUCAGAGGAUAAUCUUUGAUGAAUUUAGAUGCAAACAUCCUCAACAAAAUAUCAGCAAGCCAAAUCCAACAAUACAUAAAAAGGAUCAUACAACAUUAUCAAGUCAUAUUAAUUCUAGGGGUGUAAGGAUGUUUCAACAUAUGCAAAUCAACCAAUGGUAUAUAUCACAUUAACAAAUGAAAAGACAAAAACCACAUGAUCUUCUCAAUAGAUACAGGAAAAGUACUCAAUAAAAUUCAACAUUCAAUCAUGAUAAAAAACUCUCAUCAAAGUGGGUAUAAAGGGAAUGUACCUCAACAUAAUAUAAAACAUUUAUGAGAAAUAUUUUUGCAACCAACAUAAUAUUCAAUGGUGAAAAACAGAAAGCUUUCUCACCAAAUUCUGGAAUAAUAUAUGAAUGCCUACUAUUACCACUUCUAUUCAACAUAGUAUUGGAAGUCCUAGACAAAGCAACCACAGAAAAAAGAAAUAAGUUUUCCAAAGUGGAAGGAAAGAGCUAAAACUGUGAUUAUAUGCAGAUGACAUGACAUUCUCUAUAAAAAACCCUAAGACUCAACACAAAAAUGAUUAGAACAAAUAAAUAAAUUCAACAAGAUAGAAAGAUAUAAGAUUAACAUACAUAAAUCUGUUGUAUUUCUUUAUAAUAACACUGAAAUGCUGAAAGAGAACUUUUUUAAAUCCCAUUUUAAAUCACAUAAAAUAUAAAAUACCCAAUAGAUGUGGACUAUUGCCUUUGGAAUGGAUGAGCAAUGAGAUCCUGCUGUCUAGUCACUUAUGCUGGAGCAUGAUAAUGUGAGAAAAAAGAAUGUAUACAUGUAUGUCUAACUGGGUCACCAUGCUGUACAGCAGAAAAUUGACAGAACACUGUAAACCAGCUAUAAUGGAAAAAAAGAAAAAUCAUUAUGUUAAAAAAAUAAAGAUUAUUAAGAACUCAGGAAAAAAAAAUGCCUAGGAAUAAACUUAACCAGGAAGGUUUUGAAAGACUUGUGUUAUUGGAUUGGAAGAAUUAAUAUAGUUAAAAUGGUCAUACUACCCAAAGCAAUCUACAUAUUUAAUACAAUCUCUAUCAAAUUACCCAUGAAACUUUUCAAAGAACUAGAAUAAAUAAUGUUAAAAUUUAUAUGGAGUCACAAAAGACCCAGAAUUGCCAAAGCAAUCGUGAGGAAAAAGAACAAAGCUGCAAGAAUAAUUAUUCCUGAUUUCAGACAAUAUUACAAAGAUACUGUAAUCAAAAUAGCAUGGUUUUGGCAAAAAAAAAAAGACAUAUAUAUCAAAGGAACUGGACAGAGAGCCCAGAAAUAAAUCCACACACCAAUGGCCAAUUAAUCUAUGAGAAUGGAGGCAAGAAUAUACAAUGGAGAAAAGACAAUCUCUUCAACAAGUGGUGUUGGGAAAGCUGGACAGCUACAUGGAAAUCAGUUAAAUUGGAACACUCUCUCACACCAUGUACAAAAAAAAGUCACAAUUCUUUAAAAACUUAAAUAUUACAUGAUACCAUAAAAAUCCCAGAAGAGAAUGUAGGCAAAUUAUUCUCUGAAAUAUUUUAUAGCAAUAUUUUCUUAGAUCAGUCUCCCAUGGCAAAGGAAAUAAAAGCAAAAGUAAACAAGUGGUGGAGUUCCCGUCAUGGCGCAGAGGAAAUGAAUCCAACUAGGAACCAUGAGGUUGUAGGUUCAAUCCCUGGCCUCUCUCAGUAGGUUAAGGAUCUGGCAAUGCUGUGAGCUCUGGUGUAGGUUGCAGAUGCGGCUCGGAUCUGGUGUUGCUGUGGCUCUGGUGUACGCCGGCAGCUACAGCUCCGAUUAGACCCCUAGCCUGGGAACUUCCAUAUGCCGUGGGUGGGGCCCUAAAAGGACAAAAAAAAAAAAAAAGUAAACAAAUGGUAUUUAAGCAAACAUAUAAGCUUUUUCAGAGCAAAGGAUAUCAUUAACAAAAUCAAGAAAUAACCUAUGAAAUAAGAGAAAAUAUUUGCAAUGAUGCAACUGACCAGGCCUUAGUAUCUAAAAUAUAAAAACAGCACAUACAGCUCAAUAUCAAAAAAACGAAUAACCCAACAAAAACCGGUUGGAUACCUAAAUAGACACUUCCCCAAAGAAGACAUACAGGUAGCCAGCAGGCACAAGAAAAGAUGUUCAAUGUCACUAAUUAUCAGAUAAAUGCAAAUCCAAACCUUAGUGAAGUAUCACCUCACACUCGUCAGAAUGACUAUCAUCAAAAGCCUACAAAUAAUUGCUGGAGAGGGUGUGGGGAAAAGUGAACCAUCCUACACUGUAUGCGGGAAUGUAAAUUUGUGCAGCCACUUUAGGAAAGAGUAUGGAUUUCUUUAAAAAACAGAGUAAAGCUACAAUAUGAUCCAGCAAUCCUAAUCAUAGGCAUAUAUGCAGAAAAGAUGUUUUGCAUUUAUGCACCCACCCCAAUGUUCACAGCAGCACUGUUUACAAUGGCCAAGAUAUGGAAAGAACUCAAGCAUCCAUCAGUAGGUGACUGGUUUAAGAAGAUUUGACAUAUUUAUAUCUAUCUAUCCAAACAUAAACAUAAUGGAAUAUUACUUAGCUAUAAAAAAUAAUGAAAUAAUGCCAUUUGUACAACAUGGAUGGACCUAGAGAAUAUCAUACUAAGUGAUAUGAGAGCGAAACAUAAAUAUUAUAAAGAUAAAAUAAUGAAACAUUAAUUGCUGAACAAGUUUAAUUUUAUACCUAGGAGUUCCCGUCGUGGCGCAGUGGUUAACGAAUCCAACUAGGAACCAUGAGCCACAAUGGGAACUCCAUGAAAUUGUAUGUGUACUCUAAUGUUCAUAUUAACAGUGUUUACAAUAGCCAAGAUGCAGAAACAACCUAAGUGGCCAUCAAUUGAUAAAGAAAACACAGCAUAUAUAUACAAUGGAAUAUUACUCAGCCAUAAUAAAGAGUAAAGUAUUUUCAUUUGCAGCAACAUGGAUGGACUUAAAAAGACUGUUGUAUUAAGUGAAAUAAGUCACACAGGGAAUAUUAUAUAUCACUUAUUUCUUAUGAGAUCUAAAAAACAAUACUAAUGAAUCUCUAUGCAAAACAGCCAUCGUGGACUCCAAAGGUGGCUGUGAAAUAAGAGUUCUGACUAAGGAAAACCCCCCCGAUCCUUGGCUAAAAAGGCAGCUGCAAGCCUUUUCAGCUGUGCUCACCUCAUACCACCCUUCUUGUAAUAAUGUAGCAACAAUGUACCCUAUGCCCAAGCCAGCAGCCCUGCUAAUCAUGUUCCCAGCAUUGCUUAUCAGUUCCGCUUCUGUAACCUUGCUUGCUCAGUUUCUUAGGGAGGAACACUGUCUGCUCUGGGAAAGGGGGAGGUCCGGGAUGCUUCCAUGGGAAAAUCAUGACCUUGCAAUGUAUAAAAUUGCUGAGAACACAGACUUGGUGCUCAGACUGUGGAAGUGACUCCUCUGAGCCAGCACUGGUGUGAAAUAAACCUUCCUUUUCCACAUUUCCGAGUUUGUCUCCUUCCACUGCCAUGGUUUUUGCUUCUUCUGCAACAUUUUGGUGUGUUGGCUGUGAAGCCAACAACCAAGCUGGCCUCUUGUGUGCCACUGUUGUUGGGGAACCAGGGGAGGUCAUGGUCACCAGUCCAGUGACAGGUGGAUAGCACUCACUGGCCAGAUCCAGACCCUCACCUGGGCCAUGAUGGCCUUGGCUCACACUGCUUCCCAAAGGGACUCAGGAGAGUGGAAACAGGUUCCAGGACAGGAUGUUGGACUGGUGAGUGCCUCGGGGACAUCUGCCCUAGUCAGGACCUGCCAUACGGCGGAAGGAGAGACUGAUCACCUCUCAGUGACCAAAGGGUUACUCAGGUCAGGAUUUGUUCCCUUGGGAUCGGAAGACUUGUCAAUUCUGGGGUGUGUGCAUGUGUGUGGCCCUCUUCAGAGGGAUCCUGACGUUGGGGUUUACACAGUCAAACCAAAGCUAAGAGGCGCCUGAAAUAUCUCCUCCAGGGUAGAGGUCAGGCAGACAAGGCGACUGUUACCUGAGGCCUUGUCCUCGCUGUUUGUCUUGCGUCGCCGUCACAAGGUGGGACUUCACACAGUGGGUAAAUUGGCUUCCAAGCCCACUGUCUUAGAGUGUAUGGUUAAGAAUUUUAAGAAAGGAUUUUCAAGAGAUUAUGGUGUUAAACUGAGUCCUGGAAAACUGGGUACCCUCUGUACCCUAGAAUGGCCCACCUUUGGUGUUGGAUGGCCCCCAGAAGGGAUCUUAGAUGUGUUCAUGGUUGGAGCAGUAUAUAAUGUUAUAACAGGAGACCCUGGACACCCAUA